rnacentral:rRNA from 1 species
UACGGAGGAUCCAAGCGUUAUCCGGAUUUAUUGGGUUUAAAGGGUGCGUAGGCGGCCCGGUAAGUUAGAGGUGAAAGCCCGUGGCUCAACCACGGAAUUGCCUCUGAUACUGUCGGGCUAGAGAAUAGUUGCUGUGGGCGGAAUGUGAAGUGUAGCGGUGAAAUGCUUAGAGAUUACACAGAACACCGAUUGCGAAGGCAGCUCACAAAGCUAUUUCUGACGCUGAGGCACGAAAGCGUGGGGAGCAAACAGGAUUAGAUACCCU